GGGAAGCUUUGGAGGAAAUUUGGCGGACAAGUGAUGGAGAAGUCGAAGAAUCUUCAGACAGCAGCUUGGAUUUGGAAGUUGAAGAAGAUGAAGAAGUGCCUCUGAGAGACCCAGUUCACGAAUCAGUGAAUCGGGGUUUGUCUGAAAACAGACAUCUGAAGUCAUGGCUUGUACAUCACAAUCUUCCUUGGAGUAUCUGAGGAAUGCCAGAGUUCAGCUUGUUGGAGGAUUAAGGAAUCUCUCCAUAAUUCUUGAGAACUUGUAUAAGCAAGGAGUCCUCCAUGAUGAAGAGGUCAGCAAAAUAAAGGUAGAGAAAGAUGACUAUGAUAGAACCAGAGCAAUGCUGCGUUCAGUAACUAGAAAAGGUGAAGCAGCCUGCUAUCAGUUACUGAAGAUUAUUUACCAAACGAGGAAAAGAACCUUGGAGAGGCCCGAUCCUGUCUUCAAGAACAGUCAUGAAGCUUCAGCUGAGACUAAAAAGUUUGACCUGAACCACUGGAUCAGCUGCUUUUCUUUCACAGAAGAUGUAGAAAUGGAUGCAAAUUACAUGCAAGGGCCAAGACCGUGCCACAGAUAUCAAUCAAAGUUGAAAUCAAAAGGAAAAAAAAUAUCAAAGGAGUUUUGGAGGGCCAGCAGGAAUCUAUUUAUGGAUAAUAAGAGUCCUGAUCUAUCGUACACUUCACUUGUGUUGGACACACAAGAGAAAAGCUCUCCAUCCAAAAUAAAGAAAUUAAAAAGCAGGAAAAGCAAACUGAGUCGCCCUAAAAAGUUCAGGACUUACCUUCCAGAGGACAAACCAAAACUAUCCCCCAUUGAUCUUCUGAAAACAGAUAAAAAUAUUCUCCUGGUUGGGAAACCUGGAAUUGGAAAGACAGCACUGAGCCAUGAAAUAUUGAGACUGUGGACAGAAAGAG